CUAUUCCUUCUCAUUUUGGACUGAUUGGGCUGCUACUUCCUCUUGGAUAAUAUCUCGUUCUGCUUCACCAUCUCCUGAACCGAUCACGUGUUGCUCCACUUCAUCAGGUAAUAUCAUUCGCCCUUCAAUUCCCAGAAUCCCUAAUUUCCCAUUUUUAUUUCCCUCUCGCACCUCAAUCCCUAAUUCCCCUUUUACAAUUCUCCUUCGCAUCUCAAUCCCUAAUUCACCAUUUUUCUCUUCGUUUCCACGCUCAUUUCUUCCAACCGUGACAAUACCCGUCGCUGGAGAAGAUCCUUGUCCCCAAGGAUCAAAAUUCGGAAAUUGGCCUCGAAGCACAGAAUAAUCCUCCCAUGUGUCGUUCGUAGCAUCCAGGAUGAUCUGUUGAAGAUGAUACGACUGCACCAAUAUGUUUUUUCAAUAAACUAACAUGAAAAACCGGAUGUAGACGUGAGGUCUCCGGGCAAGAGAGGUCUGUCUAUAAGGCUACAAUUUCAGGGUAUUGGACUGAACACGUGGGGUAUUCUUUCUCCUUUUGGACUGAUUGGGCUGUUACUUCCUCUUGGAUAAUAUCUCGUUCUGCUUCACCAUCUCCUGAACCGAUCACGUGCUGCUCCACUUCAUCAGCUGACAGGCUCGCUAAAUUGGCUUUUGAUACGGAUCUCACCCUUCGGUACUUAAGCAUGCCUUCUGUCGAUGUUCAAGCUCUUCUCCAUAAGGAUAUGGCGCCUCCUAGCUAGAUCUGUCUUUUGUUCAUUUUAUUUUUUUUGGUUGCCCUAUGGCUUUUGUUUGCUUUGU